rnacentral:rRNA from 1 species
CAUCUUAGAACUUGGUCCAUCCAAAUGGAUGUGAACUAGGAUUCUAGACUAAAUAUUACAAGUUUUCUAUAUGUUACCUUAAUUGGUUGCAUAUAGUAGCUAGUAAGUUUACCUUGAAAAAAUUAGAGUGCUCAAUGCGGGCUUAAUGCCUGAAUACUCGUGCAUGGAAUAAUAAAAUAGGAUCUUGGUUCUAUUUUGUUGGUUUUCUGAUCUAAGAUAAUGGUUAAGAGGGACGGACGGGGGCAUUCGUAUCGCUACGUGAGAGGUGAAAUUCUUGGACCGUAGCGAGACGUACAACUGCGAAAGCAUUUGCCAAGAAUGUCUUCAUUAAUCAAGAACGAAAGUCAGAGGUUCGAAGGCGAUCAGAUACCGCCCUAGUUCUGACCGUAAACGAUACCAACUAGCGUUCCGUCGGCGGUAAAUACGCCUUGA